rnacentral:lncRNA from 1 species
GGGAGGGGCGUAUCGAUUCAAACCCAAACAAUAACAAAGCCAUCAAAGGCCGCCCGAGGCCAGCUCUGCCGGCUCUGUGUUUCCCGGAGAUUUGGGUUGUGGAGGGGGGUCGAGGAUUGGAGCUGGAGCGUAGCAAGUUGUGAGAAAUGGAAGGGCGUUGGUGUGGCGGGCGCGGAAGCCAUGAGUAGGGACCGCGUGUGUGUGGAUGCCGACCAGGGUGGUCCUCUGGUGUGACUCAGCCCGGAGACCUCCAAGGCUGCUGGGGCGGGUUGACGAUGUUAUGUGGGCUAGAUCCUGGGGGUGAUGAUUGUGUUUUUGGGGGCGAAGGCUGUGCAAGACGUGAGUCACCGGCAUUUUGCACACCGAGGCCAGUCACAGGCCUGCGAGGAAAAGUGGGGGAGACCUGGGAUGCGAGGAGCCGGUGACAAAGAUUCUCAAUUUAGAAAUGCAGAGAGAAUUAGAAGGGACCCGGGGUACCUGAUCCCCUCGGUCCAUGUCCGAGCGCCUGAGAGAGGAAAUCACGACACAAACGUUAGCUUUCUCUUGCCAAAUGCUGCCUCAGCCCCUUCUGAGAGGGCGGGAGGAGCAGGAAAAUUCCUGAUCGCGGGCGAGGGUGGGAGGGUGCCGCUGGGUUUAAUCAGAGGUUGUUGCGGUAGUUACCUUCUCAUCAGCUUGGUAUUAGCAGUCAGGCGAUACCAGAUAUUAUUGGCCCCCACCCCAGCCUUGUCUCAAAGGAAAGUCCCCACAUGCACGUGGAAAUACCACGGAAAGCUAGCCGAGUCCGCUUUCAUCUUUUGUCCUUUUGAACUUCAUGGAGAGUUGAUAACGACGUGUGGAAAUGGGUAAACUCUCAUUCUGUGUAAUCCAUAUAAACUGAGAUACUGGUGGCCAGAGUCAUGGACAGCCAGCUACACCCCUUGUUCGUUAUUUUUGUUGUUGUUCUUAGGUCUGAGAGAUCUUUAAAGGAGGAACGAGCCUGUUGUGGAUGUAGUCAUUAGCGCACGCGUUUAAAUGCUUCCUUUACAAGUUUUCCAUGCUGCUUAUAAAGAUGCCCAGAGACUCCAUAACUUUUAUGGAUGCCUCUUACAAAACAUUACAUAUUUCCCUUUGUUUGUGUUCUGUGGACUAACUCAUUCAUUUCUGAUGACGAAAGGAGAAAAACCCAGGGGAAGGAGAAUUACUUCCUUUUUUGCAGAUAGGAAAAUGACUCGUCACUGGGAUGACACAGGGUCAUACGACAGCAGAGAGAAUGGCCCAAAUUCUGCUCCUGAGGGUUCAGAGCUCUCCCUUUAAUCAGCCUAAAAACAUCUAUGGCACUGGUAUUGAGCAGGCAAUCAGAAAACAGGUAUGCCUAGAGUGGUGCCCAACGUUAAAACCACAACAUUCUAACCAGGCCAGCCUUGUCUACAAAGAGAAACUCUGUCUAUAAAUAAAUAUGUGUUAAACACCAGUA